CAGCUUGAACGACAAGCCCCACAAGCCUCACCAAGGGUGAGGCCAAGCUUUCAGGCAAAGCUCCAGACACAUCAAAACCCACCCCGCCUCCCAUGGUACAAAUAUGUAUGGAUAAGUUGUACCACGAAGAUCUGUAUCAUGAAGAAAUGCUCACACGUAUGGCUGAGAAAGACCCAGGCCUGUUUGGUUGCCAACGAUGCAAGGAGAAGGAUGCUGCAAGUGGCUUCCAACUGACACCAGAGCUCUUGGGUUGCCCCGUUCCUCCUCCUCAGGUGAAAAGCCUCACAAGUGUUGGGAUAUGGCAAAGAUUUCAGCCAGGGUUUCAGCCGGAUCAAGCCCGGUCGGAAACAUACUCUGUGGCAAAGACUUGGAGAGAAAGGUGAAUUUGCGGAGACAACAGGAGACAACAGCACCAGGAGUGAGAGCCAGGUGGAAUCCGAGGAAAGCAAGAGAACCACGACUACGCCAAGGCGUUUGGCCUUCUUCUUCUUCCUGAUGGGUUGCCCAAUGCCCAAUGUUCCUCUCCUCAACCGUCUGGAUGUUGGAUCCACUUCUGGCUAGAUUUGAACUCAACAGGAAA